rnacentral:rRNA from 1 species
UAUCUCUGUAGAGUCUGCAUAUCAAUAAGCGGAGGAAAAGAAACUAACUAGGAUUCCCUCAGUAACGGCGAGUGAAGCGGGAAGAGCUCAAAUUUGAAAUCUUCAAGGUUUUACCUUGACGAAUUGUAGUUUAAAGAAGUGUUUUCUGUUGGAGUUUUGGUAAAAGUUCUUUGGAAUAGGACAUCAUAGAGGGUGAGAAUCCCGUAUUUGACCAUUAUUUCCAGCUUUGUGAUACACUUUCAAAGAGUCGGAUUGUUUGGGAAUGCAGUCCAAAAUGGGUGGUAAAUUUCAUCUAAAGCUAAAUACUGGCGAGGGACCGAUAGCGAACAAGUACCGUGAGGGAAAGAUGAAAAGAACUUUGAAAAGAGAGUUAAACAGUACGUGAAAUUGUCAAAAGGGAAGCGUUUGACACCAGUGUUGUUUUCUCGAAAAUCAAUUAAAAAAGGCAGGAUUUUGUGUUGUAUUGACUUUAUCAGCUUUCUGCACUCUUUUCUUGUCUUUUUUAAUGCACUUUUCGUUUAACAAGUCAACAUCAAUCUCUUUUGUUGUAAAAGGGUCAUUGGAAGGUGGCUUUCUUUUCGGAGAAAGUGUUUAUAGCCUUUGGCCUCUGCAAUCGGAGAGAUUGAGGUCUGCAGCGUAGAUCCUUCGGGGUUAGAUACAUUUGUGCUAAGUUAUAGCCUUUCAUAGACAACUUGUUGACUAUGAUCAGUCAUGUAGCUUACUCGCUUAUGCUAUUUUACCUACGCUUAGGAUGUUGAGUCAUCACACAUCUCU